rnacentral:lncRNA from 10 species
GGUACCGGAAGUGCUAGCCACAGCGACUUCAGGUAGUCUCGGUCUUAGCGGAUUCCGCGGACUUUCUUGUCUUUCUGCGUACUGCACUAACUGAGCGACCAAUUGAUACCUAAGUUUAGCUGAACUUUUUGUUGAAUUAAUUAAAACUGUUUUGAAAUCUAUUCUGUAAGAGCCUGAGAAAAAUUGCGGCCACAGAAGCUGUUUUGAAAUGCGCUUGGCUUCCGACUUCCGCAAGGGGAGGCAGCUGUUUCUUGUAGUCUUGCUCUGUCACCUACACUGGAAUUCAGUGGCACAGUCUCAGCUCAGCUCACUGCAACCUCCACCUCCCGGGUUCAAGUGAUUCUCAUACCUCAGCCUCCUGAGUAGCUGGGAUUACAGAGACCUGGACUUAAUCUCAGCUGGUGUACAGAGUUCUCUCCAAAAACAAGUGGCCUACUUCACAUUCAGUGAA